UCCAGAUGGAAGGAGACCAGAGGGCUGUUGUGUUCUAGAAGGAAUUAAUGCAAAUCCAACUAGCUGAACCAGGCACGUCAGUUGGUAAAGAAAUGCACUUUUUUUCCCCUCUUAACAAUCAACUGGCAAUGAAUAGAUUCUCACACUUUCAGAUGAGAGAAAUGCAGCCGAUUUGAACGUUGAGGUUGUGAAAACUUCAGGAAGUUGCUAGAAGAUCUGGGAUAUCUACAGAAAGGAAACAAGCAAAAUUCAUCACUGCUACCAAGAGGAGGAGAGUUACAGAUGCUCAGGAUUUGAGUAGAAAGGAACAGGGACGGAGCUGAACAGAUCCAACACCUUAAAGGACAAUUGGAUCUCAAAAUAUGAAAGACCCCUCAUUCAAUAAAGCAACAGGAUUGGCUCUGAGGAGCGGUAAGCAACAUUUGAUGAAGGAAACAGGCAGCGUGGACAGUAUUCAAGACACAAUGUUUAAAAGUUGCUGCUGGGAUGGAAGCAAAGAAGAAAGCCCUGGAGAUGGGUUAGUGCUGGGACACAGGCACUAUCCUGGAGGGGCCUGGGACAGGGUGUUUAACCAUAGUGACCAGUGGGUCCUUUCCCCACUGUGGUCCUGGCUCGCAUGCACAGGGUGAAACCGAUCGCCAUGUUUGGGGUCAGGAAGGAAUUUUCCUCCAGGGCAGAUUGGCCAGAGACCCUGGAGGUUUUUCGCCUUCCUCUGGGGCAUCGAGCAGGGACCAGCCCUUAGGGCCAUUUAGGAACAGACAUAAUAAAAUCAAUCAGAGAGAA